rnacentral:rRNA from 13 species
UGAAAGAGAAAGUGAAAGAGAAAGUGAAAGAGAAAGUGAAAGAGAAAGUGAAAAGGAAAAAGAAAAGGAAAGAGAAAGCGAUGAGAAACAAUGGGAAAAAAUACCUAUAUUUCCUUCAAAAUUUCGAGAAAGUGAUUUUGAUGAAUUGUUAUCUCUCCCUCUUCAUCUUUUUUUUGGUCGCCACUUUGGGAUUCAGUUUUGUGGGAGCAUGCGCCGAU